CGCUGCUAUUGCAGAUGGAGGAGCUGUGUCAGUGACACGGAAGCUGCCUCCUGUAGAGAGAGAUGGCACUGGCUGCAGCUAGGGGGAGCUCCAGAGCACAGCUCCUCCCGGGCCCUUAGUAAGCCAGCCGAGGGAAGCUCAGAACUCUCUGCUCCUCCAUGCUCUGGAUGAUAGCCAAAGACAGCUGAAUCCUGCCCUGCCCGUUUUUGUGCGCCCUGCCGCCCCGCCGUUUGCUGCCUGCCGGACCCCUCCACGUCGGCCAGCCGUGCGCCGCCAGACCCGAGACUUUACAUCAAUGAGCAGCAACUUUAAGAUACUCACAGAUCUCCUAAGAAGAGGUUGGGCCAGACUUCAUCUACAUGGCGAGUGGUUGCACGUUUGCUCUCCAAGAGGCUCUGCAGUUCUGCUACUGUAGGAUGCAUGUCUUUCUGAAACUCCUUUUCCUCUGAGAGUAUACUGCAUCUCUCUGCUUUCCCUGCCAUAACAUUACAUGCAGGAAAUGAAAUUAGGACUAGUGGAAACUACGUGAGACAUUUAGACUGUGAUUGCAUGUGACAGGUGACAAGUCUGGUUUUCUGAGACAUUAAAGAGGCACACCACAACACAAGCAAACAUGUUCCAUUGUAUUUCUUUACAUUUCUUUAAAUUUCAUGUUGUUAAUGAUUAAGAGCUCAUAAGUAAUAAAAUGCAGAUUGGAAAUAACUUGA